rnacentral:rRNA from 1 species
AGAGUUUGAUCCUGGCUUAGGACGAACGCUGGCGGCGUGCUUCAUACAUGCAAGUCGAACGAUAAGGUCUCUUCGGAGAUACAUAAGUGGCGGACGGGUGAGUAAAAUGUAGAGAAUCUGCCCUAGAGUGGGGGACAACAGAGGGAAACUUCUGCUAAUACCCCAUAUGCGCGUAGCUGAGAUGCUAUUCGUGAAAACUCCGGUGCUCUGGGAUGAGUCUGCAUCUGAUUAGCUAGUAGGCGGUGUAAUGGACCACCUAGGCGACGAUCAGUAGCUGGUUUGAGAGGAUGAUCAGCCACAAUGGGACUGAGACACGGCCCAUACUCCUACGGGAGGCAGCAGUAGGGAAUUUUGCGCAAUGGGGGAAAAACCCCCUGACGCAGCAACGCCGCGUGACCGAUGAAGCCCUUCGGGGUGUAAAGGUCUGUCAGUGGGGACGAAACUUGACGGUACCCACAGAGGAAGCAUCGGCUAACUCCGUGCCAGCCGCGGC